rnacentral:rRNA from 1 species
AUUGAACGCUGGCGGCAGGCCUAACACAUGCAAGUCGAACGAGUGGCGGACGGGUGAGUAAUGUAUGGGAAACUGCAUGAUGGAGGGGGAUAAAUACUGGAAACGGUAGAUAAUACCGCAUACCAUCAGGUGGCCCCAGAUGGGAUUCGCUUGUUGGUGGGGUAACGGCUCACCAAGGCGGCGAUCCCUAGCUGGUCUGAGAGGAUGAAGAGCCACACUGGGACUGAGACACGGUCCAGACUCCUAUGGGAGGCAGCAGUGGGGAAUAUUGCACAAUGGGCGCAAGCCUGAUGCAGCCAUGCCGCGUGUAUGAAGAAGGCCUUCGGGUUGUAAAGUACUUUCAGCGGGGAGGCGUUACCCGCAGAAGAAGCACCGGCUAACUCCGUGCCAGUAGCCGCGGUAAUAC